rnacentral:rRNA from 1 species
GAUGAACGCUGGCGGCGUGCCUAAUACAUGCAAGUCGAGCGAAUGACGAGGAGCUUGUUCCUCUGAUUUAGCGGCGGACGGGUGAGUAACACGUGGGUAACCUGCCUGUAAGACGGGGAUAACUCCGGGAAACCGGAGCUAAUACCGGAUGAUAACGAGAAGCGCCUGCUUCUUUUUUGAAAGUCGGUUUCGGCUGACGCUUACAGAUGGGCCCGCGGCGCAUUAGCUAGUUGGUGAGGUAACGGCUCACCAAGGCGACGAUGCGUAGCCGACCUGCGAGGGUGCUCGGCCACACGGGGACUGAGACACGGCCCAGACUCCUACGGGAGGCAGCAGUAGGGAAUCUUCGGCAAUGGACGAAAGUCUGACCGAGCAACGCCGCGUGAGCGAUGAAGGCCUUCGGGUCGUAAAGCUCUGUUGUCAGAGAAGAACAAGUACCGGAGUAACUGCCGGUACCUUGACGGUACCUGACCAGAAAGCCACGGCUAACUACGUGCCAGCCGCCGCCGUAAUAC